rnacentral:rRNA from 1 species
GAAUUCGCCCUUAGAGUUUCUUUCUGGCUCAGGACGAACGCUGGCGGCGUGCUUAACACAUGCAAGUCGAACGGGGAUCAGUUGAUGAAGUUUUCGGAUGGAUUCAAUUGAUUCUAGUGGCGGACGGGUGAGUAACGCGUGAGCAACCUGCCUCUUACAGGGGGAUAACACAGCGAAAGUUGUACUAAUACCGCAUAAGACCACGUCGGGGACAUCCCGAAGGGGUCAAAGGAGCAAUCCGGUAAGAGAUGGGCUCGCGUCUGAUUAGAUAGUUGGUGAGGUAACGGCCCACCAAGUCAACGAUCAGUAGCCGACCUGAGAGGGUGAUCGGCCACAUUGGAACUGAGAGACGGUCCAAACUCCUACGGGAGGCAGCAGUGGGGAAUAUUGGGCAAUGGGCGAAAGCCUGACCCAGCAACGCCGCGUGAAGGGAGAAGGUCUUCGGAUCGUAAACUUCUAUCCUUGGUGAAAAUAAUGAUGGUAGCCAAGAAGGAAGCCCCCGGCUAACUACGUGCCAACAGCCGCGGUAUUACGUAGGUGGCGAGCGUUGUCCGGAAAUUUUUGGGCGUAAAGCGCAUGUAAGCAGUUUUCCUAAACCUGGAGUGAAAAUGGGGGGGCUCACCCUCGUACGGCUCCUGAUUCUGGAUGACUGUAGUGCAGGAGAGGAAAGGGGAAUUCCCAGUGUAGCGGUGAAAUGCGUAGAUAUUGGAGGAACACCAGUGGCGAAGGCGCCUUUCUGGACUGUGUCUGACGCUGAGAUGCGAAAGCCAGGGGAGCAAACGGGAUUAGAUACCCCGGUAGUCCUGGCCGUAAACGAUCGAUACUAGGUGUGCGGGGACUGACCCCCUGCGUGCCGCAGCUAACGCAAUAAGUAUCGCACCUGGGGAGUACGAUCGCAAGGUUGAAACUCAAAGGAAUUGACGGGGGCCCGCACAAGCGGUGGAGUAUGUGGUUUAAUUCGAAGUAACGCGAAGAACCUUACCAGGGCUUGACAUCCUACUAACGAAACAGAGAUGUAUCAGGUGCCCUUCGGGGAAAGUAGAGACAGGUGGUGCAUGGUUGUCGUCAGCUCGUGUCGUGAGAUGUUGGGUUAAGUCCCGCAACGAGCGCAACCCCUAUUGUUAGUUGCUACGCAAGAGCACUCUAGCGAGACUGCCGUUGACAAAACGGAGGAAGGUGGGGAUGACGUCAAAUCAUCAUGCCCCUUAUGUCCUGGGCCACACACGUACUACAAUGGCGGUCAACAGAGGGAAGCAAUACCGCGAGGUGGAGCAAACCCCUAAAAGCCGUCCCAGUUCGGAUUGCAGGCUGCAACCCGCCUGUAUGAAGUUGGAAUCGCUAGUAAUCGCGGAUCAGCAUGCCGCGGUGAAUACGUUCCCGGGCCUUGCACACACCGCCCGUCA